GAGAGCCCGGUGCGUGGAGACACGCACGCCGGGUUCGGCGAGCGGCCCGGGGAAACGGAGCGGCAGCAAUGCCGACACCGCGCCCCGGGCCGACUCAAC
rfam:Mycobacterium arupense strain GTC1 Marup_contig000048, whole genome shotgun sequence.